UACGUAGGCAGCAAGCGUUGUUCGGAAUUACUGGGCGUAAAGAGUGUGUAGGCGGUGCUCUAAGUUUGGUGUGAAAUCUCCCGGCUCAACUGAGAGGGUGCGCCGAAAACUGGAAUGCUUGAACGUGGGAGAGGAAAGCGGAAUUCCUGGUGUAGCGGUGAAAUGCGUAGAUAUCAGGAGGAACACCUGCGGUGUAGACGGCUUUCUGGACCAUUGUUGACGCUGAGACACGAAAGCGUGGGUAGCAAACAGG
rnacentral:rRNA from 1 species